GCUGGACACAGUGGUGUGCGCCUGUAGUCCCAGCUACUGGGGAGGCUGAGGUGGGAAGAUUGCUUGAGCCCAGGAGCGCUGGGCUAUAGCACAGGCUAUGCUAAUUGGGUGUCUGCACUAAGUUUUACAUCAAUAUGGUGACCUCCCAGGAGCUGGAGUAGGGGUUGGGGACCACCAGGUUGCCUAAGAAAGGCUGAACCAGCCCAGGUCAGAAAGAGAGCGGGUCAAAACUCUCCAUGAUGAUCAGUAGUGGGAUCAUGCCUGUGAGUGGCCACUGCACUGCAGCCUGGAACUUGCAUUGUGAAAUCA
rnacentral:SRP_RNA from 1 species